GAUGAAGAACGCAGCGAAAUGCGAUAAGUAAUGUGAAUUGCAGAAUUUAGUGAAUCAUCGAAUGUUUGAACGCACAUUGCGCCCCCUGGUAUUCCGGGGGGCAUGCCUGUCCGAGCGUCAUUACAACCCUCAAGCUCAGCUUGGUGUUGGGCCCCGCCGCCCCGGCGGGCCCUAAAGUCAGUGGCGGUGCCGUCCGGCUCCGAGCGUAGUAAUUCUUCUCGCUCUGGAGGUCCGGUCGUGUGCUCGCCAGCAACCCCCAAUUUUUUUCAGGUUGACCUCGGAUCAGGUAGGGAUACCCGCUGAACUUAAGCAUAUCAAUAAGCGGAGGA
rnacentral:misc_RNA from 1 species